rnacentral:misc_RNA from 1 species
AACGCACCUUGCGCUCCUUUUCCGAGGAGCAUGCCUGUUUGAGUGUCAUUAAAUCAUCAAAUCAUUAAAUUUUUACAGUUGAAUGAUUUGGAUAUGGAAGUGUUGUUGGCCUUUUCUCUGGUCAACUCUUCUUAAAUGCAUUAGCCGGAAGCUUUUGUAACCGUCUGUUGGUAUGAUAAUUAUCUAUGCCAUUACAGUUGCACUUUGUAUGAGCCUUCUGCUUCAAACUGUCUACAUGUGUGGACAAUAUUCAUAUUUUGACCUCAAAUCAGGUAGGACUACCCGCUGAACUUAA